rnacentral:rRNA from 1 species
UAGGAAUCUUGCGCAAUGGGGGAAACCCUGACGCAGCGAUGCCGCGUGGGCGAUGAAGGCCUUCGGGUUGUAAAGCCCUUUUAGUCGGGAAGAAAGAAAUGACGGUACCGACAGAAAAAGCACCGGCUAACCCUGUGCCAGCAGCCGCGGUAAUACAGGGGGUGCAAGCGUUACUCGGAAUCAUUGGGCGUAAAGAGCGUGUAGGCGGUUUGGUAAGUCGAAUGUGAAAGCCCCGGGCUUAAUCCGGGAAGUGCAUUCGAUACUGCUAGACUAGAGUACAGGAGAGGUGAACGGAAUUUCUGGUGUAGAGGUGAAAUUCGUAGAUAUCAGAAGGAACAACAGUGGCGAAGGCGGUUCACUGGACUGUCACUGACGCUUAGGCGCGAAAGCGUGGGGAGCAAAC